rnacentral:rRNA from 1 species
YUACGUGCCAGCAGCCGCGGUAAUACAUAUGGGGCGAGCGUUAUCCGGAUUUAUUGGGUGUAAAGGGUGCGUAGGCGGGAAAAUAAGUCAGUGUGUGAAAUCCCUCGGCUCAACUGAGGAACUGCAACUGAAACUAUUUUUCUUGAGUGUUGAAGGGGAAAGUGGAAUUCCUAGUGUAGCGGUGAAAUGCGUAGAGAUUAGGAGGAACACCAGUGGCGAAGGCGACUUUCUGGGCAACAACUGACGCUGAGGCACGAAAGUGUGGGGAGCAAACAGGAUUAGAUACCCUGGUAGUCCACACCGUAAACGAUGGAUACUAGGAGUUGGCAAAAAUAUUGUCGGUUCCGCAGUUAACGCAUUAAGUAUCCCACCUGGGGAGUACGACCGCAAGGUUAAAACUCAAAGGAAUUGACGGGGGCCCGCACAAGCAGUGGAGUAUGUGGUUUAAUUCGAAGCAACGCGAAGAACCUUACCAGGGCUUGACAUAUACAGGAAUAUAUAAGAGAUUAUA